UAGGGAAUAUUGGACAAUGGGUGCAAGCCUGAUCCAGCCAUGCCGCGUGCAGGAAGAAGGCCUUCUGGGUUGUAAACUGCUUUUUGCCAGGGGAUAAAAUUUCUUUGCGAAGAAAAUUGAAGGUACCUGGUGAAUAAGCCACGGCUAACUACGUGCCAGCAGCCGCGGUAAUACGUAGGUGGCAAGCGUUGUCCGGAUUUACUGGGCGUAAAGGGCGCGUAGGCGGUGUGUCAAGUCAGUUGUGAAAUCUCCGAGCUUAACUCGGAACGGUCAACUGAUACUGUCACACUAGAGUACAGAAGGGGCAAUCGGAAUUCUUGGUGUAGCGGUGAAAUGCGUAGAUAUCAAGAGGAACACCUGAGGCGAAGGCGGGUUGCUGGGCUGAUACUGACGCUGAGGCGCGAAAGCUAGGGUAGCAAACGGGAUUAGAUACCCCCGUAGUCCCUGAGCGGGCUGGCAAGGCGCAU
rnacentral:rRNA from 1 species